UUGAAAAGAUUAUGCAAAAGGAAAGAAGCCAGUCACACAAGACCACACGUUGUGUGAUUGCAUUUAUGUGAAAUGUGCAGAAUAGGUAAACCCAUAGAGAUAGAACAUAGGUUAGUGGUUGCCUAGGGCUAGGGGC